UACGGAGGAUCCGAGCGUUAUCCGGAUUUAUUGGGUUUAAAGGGUGCGUAGGCGGCCUUUUAAGUCAGCGGUGAAAGUCUGUGGCUCAACCAUAGAAUUGCCGUUGAAACUGGGGGGCUUGAGUAUGUUUGAGGCAGGCGGAAUGCGUGGUGUAGCGGUGAAAUGCUUAGAUAUCACGCAGAACCCCGAUUGCGAAGGCAGCCUGCCAAGCCAUGACUGACGCUGAUGCACGAAAGCGUGGGGAUCAAACAGGAUUAGAUACCCUGGUAGUCCACGCAGUAAACGAUGAUUACUAGCUGUUUGCGAUACACAGUAAGCGGCACAGCGAAAGCGUUAAGUAAUCCACCUGGGGAGUACGCCGGCAACGGUGAAACUCAAAGGAAUUGACGGGGGCCCGCACAAGCGGAGGAACAUGUGGUUUAAUUCGAUGAUACGCGAGGAACCUUACCCGGGCUUGAAUUGCAGAGGAAGGAUUUGGAGACAAUGACGCCCUUCGGGGCCUCUGUGAAGGUGCUGCAUGGUUGUCGUCAGCUCGUGCCGUGAGGUGUCGGCUUAAGUGCCAUAACGAGCGCAACCCUUGCCACUAGUUACUAACAGGUAAAGCUGAGGACUCUGGUGGGACUGCCAGCGUAAGCUGCGAGGAAGGCGGGGAUGACGUCAAAUCAGCACGGCCCUUACAUCCGGGGCGACACACGUGUUACAAUGGCGUGGACAAAGGGAAGCCACCUGGCGACAGGGAGCGAAUCCCCAAACCACGUCUCAGUUCGGAUCGGAGUCUGCAACCCGACUCCGUGAAGCUGGAUUCGCUAGUAAUCG
rnacentral:rRNA from 1 species